UGUUUUCAGGCCUAAGCAUUUUUUUGAACAAAUGUAACGCUUUCUUACAAACAACUACAGUAAAAUAAUCAUUUGAAUUAUCAAUACGAAUCACAGCAGGACAAAUUGUGACUGGCGUGUUUCUCUGAUCCUCUGACUGACGCCGCGGCCUGACUGCGCCCUCUACUGGCCUUUUCUCCUGAAGCCUGAGGUGGCGGUGAGUUUUUUCCAAAGAACAACGUUGUUAUUAUCGGUAGCUGUUGUCGCUAUUUUUUCUUCUGGGCAGAAAUAUUUACCAAAAUUUGCCAAGUUGUAUUACGUAUCUUUAAAUAGCGUAACGUUAUUGGCACACAGGUAGAGCAGGAGCGCGGAGAUUGUUUAGCCAAUCAGGACGCAGAACACAAUGCACUGUAAAAACAAAAAACUGCACAAAAAACUCCGCGAAGCAGCGAGACCGUGAAGCUGAACCGACCGCGUUACAGCGAGGAUACAGCUAAUGGUAGCUGUUUACCAUUAGCUUCUGGGAAUUUUUAUUUUACUGUUAGCUUUUGCUACUUCUGUGUUUCGCGAUGUAGCGUUAGCUUCCGUACAUUUUUUAAACAUUUUGUUUUUAGCAGAGCUGAGAUUCUCAUCUAGCAAAUUAGUGGUUAGUAACCCAACCUUUUGGUUAGCUGUCGCUAAUAACUGCUGCUGACUUUAUUAAAAAACAAACCUUUUCCAUUUCAAUCCUGGUGGCCAUUUUUUAAAAUCAGAAUUGAAUCAAUUGAAAGCACAAGAUCAAAAAAAAAAAAAGAUUCGUAUGAUUCAAAAUAUGUCGGUUAUGAUUCGACUCCAAACAUUCACCGUUUUAGGGCAAAAAUAAGUUUUCAUUGAAACCAUGGUGGCCUUGAAAAAUCUAAAAAAUAUCAAUAAAUCUGAUUUCUGUGGGUUCAGUUAUGUCUGACUUGACACCAAGACCUGAUGGAAACGUUCCUGAACUUGUUGAUGUUUCCCAACAGGAAGAUCCUUCCACUCCAGACCAGAACCAUCUUCGGACUGAAACCGUCUCUUCCAGAACCGGCCCAGUUAGAACCACGAUGUGAUAGGCAGAAAUGGACGGGCGACAAAUUCUGAGCAGCCUGGAGACAGAAGUUUGGUGCCGUGACCCGGAUCCCUCGACUGGACAUCCGAGGACGUCGACGAACAUCGUUUGGCCGACCUGGACUAAACUCCAGCCUCAAAGCUCGAUUUAAGAGAGGAGGGCUGUUGGUCGGCUCCAUGGCUCCAGCACUGGGAUCAACGAACUCAAAACCAGUUAUCAGGUGGGAAACUCACUCAGGCUAACAAAUUAAUUUUACAAAUUCUAAAUUAUUAAAUCUAAAAUAGCUAAGGACCCGAUAAACCUUUCACCCUGGGGAAUAGAGAUUGACGGUGUUAAAGUUGGGUUAAAGUCCCAAAGGAAAAUAAUAAAAAAUG